CCUACGGGUGGCAGCAGUGGGGAAUAUUGGACAAUGGGCGAAAGCCUGAUCCAGCCAUGCCGCGUGUGUGAAGAAGGCCUUCGGGUUGUAAAGCACUUUCAGUGGGGAAGAAAUCCUUGGGGCUAAUACCCUCGAGGAAGGACAUCACCCACAGAAGAAGCACCGGCUAACUCCGUGCCAGCAGCCGCGGUAAUACGGAGGGUGCGAGCGUUAAUCGGAAUUACUGGGCGUAAAGCGCGCGUAGGCGGUCUGAUAAGCCGGUUGUGAAAGCCCCGGGCUCAACCUGGGAACGGCAUCCGGAACUGUCAGGCUAGAGUGCAGGAGAGGAAGGUAGAAUUCCCGGUGUAGCGGUGAAAUGCGUAGAGAUCGGGAGGAAUACCAGUGGCGAAGGCAGCCUUCUGGACUGACACUGACGCUGAGGUGCGAAAGCGUGGGUAGCAAACAGGAUUAGAUACCCUAGUAGUC
rnacentral:rRNA from 1 species